rnacentral:rRNA from 1 species
CCUACGGGUGGCAGCAGUGGGGAAUAUUGGACAAUGGGGGGAACCCUGAUCCAGCCAUGCCGCGUGUGUGAAGAAGGCCCUCGGGUGGUAAAGCACUUUCAGUGAGGAAGAACGCCUGGUGGUUAAUACCCAUCAGGAAAGACAUCACUCACAGAAGAAGCACCGGCUAACUCCGUGCCAGCAGCCGCGGUAAUACGGAGGGUGCGAGCGUUAAUCGGAAUUACUGGGCGUAAAGCGCGCGUAGGUGGCUUGAUAAGCCGGUUGUGAAAGCCCCGGGCUCAACCUGGGAACGGCAUCCGGAACUGUCAAGCUAGAGUGCAGGAGAGGAAGGUAGAAUUCCCGGUGUAGCGGUGAAAUGCGUAGAGAUCGGGAGGAAUACCAGUGGCGAAGGCGGCCUUCUGGACUGACACUGACACUGAGGUGCGAACGCGUGGGUAGCAAACAGGAUUAGAUACUCCGGUAGUC